rnacentral:SRP_RNA from 1 species
GCCUGGCUUUUAGUGAUGCAUGCCUGUAGUCCCAGCUACUCUGGAGGCUGAGGUGGGAGAAUCACUGAGCCCAGGAGUUCUGGGCUGUUGUGCACUAUGCUGAUGGAGCAUCCUGCACUAAGUUUUGCGUGAAUAUUGUGACCUCCUGGGACUUGGGAGACCACCAGGUUGCCUAAGGAAGGGUGUACUGACCCAGGUUGGAAACAGAGCAGAUCAAAACUCUUGUGCUGAUCAGUUGGCUCAUGCCUGUGACUAACCACUACACUUCAGCCUAGGCAACACAGCUAGACUCCAUCUCU